rnacentral:rRNA from 1 species
UACGGGGGGAGCAAGCGUUGUUCGGAAUUACUGGGCGUAAAGCGUGCGCAGGCGGUUUUGCAAGCCGGAUGUGAAAUCCCCGGGCUUAACCUGGGAACUGCGUUUGAUACGGAUGGGCUAGAGUUCGGGAGAGGAGAGUGGAAUUCCCAGUGUAGAGGUGAAAUUCGUAGAUAUUGGGAAGAACACCGGUGGCGAAGGCGGCUCUCUGGACCGAGACUGACGCUGAGGCGCGAAAGCGUGGGGAGCAAACAGG